rnacentral:rRNA from 1 species
AGGGUUUGAUCAUGGCUCAGAACGAACGCUGGCGGCGUGGAUAAGACAUGCAAGUCGAGCGCUAAUUCUGGUGUAGCAAUACAUCAGAGUUGGAGCGGCGCAAGGGUGCGUAACACGUGGGUAAUUUGCCGUAGAGUUGGGGAUAACUCGCUGAAAGGCGAGCUAAUACCGAAUGUGAAGUUUGGGUGGCAUCACCCGACCUUUAAAGCUGGGGACCGCAAGGCCUGGCGCUCUAUGAUAAGCCCGCGGCCUAUCAGCUAGUUGGUGAGGUAACGGCUCACCAAGGCUAAGACGGGUAGCUGGUCUGAGAGGACGACCGGCCACACUGGAACUGAGACACGGUCCAGACACCUACGGGUGGCAGCAGUCGAGAAUUUUUCUCAAUGGGCGCAAGCCUGAAGGAGCGACGCCGCGUGGGGGAUGAAGGGUUUCGAUCCGUAAACCCCUGUCAUUUGUGAACAAUGGUUAUUCGUGAAUAACGGGUGACUUGAUAGUAAUGAAAGAGGAAGGGACGGCUAACUCUGUGCCAGCAGCCGCGGUAAUACAGAGGUCCCGAGCGUUGUUCGGAUUCACUGGGCGUAAAGGGUGCGUAGGUGGCGUGGUAAGUUUGAUGUGAAAGCUCAGGGCUUAACCCUGAAAUGGCAUUGAAUACUACUGUGCUGGAGGUUUGGAGGGGGGACUGGAAUUCUUGGUGUAGCAGUGAAAUGCGUAGAUAUCAAGAGGAACACCAGUGGCGAAGGCGAGUCCCUGGACAACACCUGACACUGAGGCACGAAAGCUAGGGGAGCAAACAGGAUUAGAUACCCUGGUAGUCCUAGCCCUAAACGGUGUGCGCUUGCUGUAAGAGGAAUCGACCCCUCUUGUGGCGAAGCUAACGCGAUAAGCGCACCGCCUGGGGAGUACGGUCGCAAGAUUAAAACUCAAAGAAAUUGACGGGGGCCUGCACAAGCGGUG